GCGGGGCGAAAAUCGGUUUUAUCAUGUUUAUUUUCGUACGAAAUUUAAUGGCCAUGUUGAUCUCUGUGGAUAACAACGAUUUUCGCUUGGUAAUCCCUGAAAAUUCCCUCUUAAAACUCAACACUAAACUCUAUGACUAUGAAAACCUUUUUGGAACGAUCCUUGAUUUGUCGUACGUAGUGUACCUAAUGACACCCACGUACUGGUUCCUAAGCGCGGUGCAUCCACUAUGCCACCUACUUUUUGGCUUUUCCUGACAUUUCCCGCACGAACGCUGCAGACCUUCUUGGAGUUGACAAACUGGAGUAGUCGGUUGGUUUAGGAAAAAGGUCCUUUACGCCUUGAGAUCGGCAGCCGAGAACACGCCGAGGGACUUUCCGUUCAAGUCCGACACCUCGUACGAGCUGGUGCCCUUCUUACGGACGAUGAUGCACGGUGUGUACUGGGGUCCGAGCUUGGCGUUGUAUUGGUCUCCUGCCGACGACUGACGAAAGCUUUUUUUAUACACACGCUGACCCACAUCGAAACUUGUUCUCAACAUUCCACGCAACAUACGAAUGCAUUGACUGCGCGACACUCCUGCUGUAUUGACCUCGCGGAUGGUUAAUUCAUGCUCCAACUCAUCAUCAAGCAAAUGAUUUGCAUCCAUCGAGUAGUAUUGGGCUCGAAGAGUAUCGUGUUCCAUUCCGAAAACGCGCAGAAAAAAUCAACAAAUUUAAAAUUUAAAAAGAACGAUCACUACAAAUCCAAACAGUAACAACAAAUUAACAAAAAUUAUAUUUGAAAUUAGUACGUAAGUUUGUAAUGAAGCAUUCGUUCAAACGAAUUGCUUCAAAAGCUAAUAAAUAAUCACUUUCCUUGUUGUUUUAUUUCAACUAUCCGAACGAUCACCACACACAGACAAAACAAUGUGCUCCAAACAAUCUCGAUUCAAUUUAAUCUUUAACAACUUCGACCUUCUUUUCAACAAUCGCCCUUCUCACACAAUUUUGGACAUCAGAACCCCUUCAAUGAAAAAUGGAAUGAUCAAUCGCAGUGUAAAGAGAAUGUAAUUUGGUCGCACUAGUGCGAACGUUAUUCUAGGCUGGCUGGACGUUUUCCCAGAGACGCCUGCGUUGGUUGGUUCUUCACAAGCAAUUCUUCCCAAGCUGGAUUACCCUUGAAAACUGACUAAAGGUCAAAUUUUUGUUGGGCGCCAAAGUGUAACUUAAGGGGUUGUCCGACUACUGAGCGUCACAGAGACUCCCAGAGUUCAAGGCCCUCAGGGUCGGCACGCCUUUAGUCAAGUCGCGCAGCUGGGGAAUGCUUGUGAUGUCCAAUGUAAAACUCCAGGUGUGCGGUCCAAAACUCUACACACUUUAUUCUCUCUCUCUACACUUCUCUUUAUUCCUCCCACUUUCUUACAGACUAAUCUG